CCUCCCUACGCCCCACACCCCACCUCGGGUAGUCGCCCUAUUCAAUUGUGCGGAGUCCUGUAGUUCCACCGAACCUCCCAGGCAAAGAAGGGCGGCGGCAACCUCAUCCCAUAUGCUGUCGAUUUGGACUCUGGUAACGAGGAAUUUGGCGAUUGGUGGAUCUGCAGGAGCUUCCAGCCAUCACCGUGGACUCCUCAAAUUCUACUGUGUCCGCUUCAGCUGGAGCCGCCAAGUAAAUAUGAUGUACAGCUAGAUCUGUAGAGGUCGUUUCCUGAGAACUCCAAUCGACGGUGCCAUCCUGGAGGUAUUUUCUUCCCCAUUUUCAUUCUCAGAUGUGGUUUUCAUUAGUAAUUGAUUUGCAUAUUUCCCGGAUUCCUAAAUUACCUUUGAUCCCCAAAUUGGUUGCUGAUCCACUAGUUUUAUUUAUUUGUCUUUGAUCUAUGAUCUCUGUUCUUUAAUAAAAAAUAAAGAAUAGGCCGCAGAAGCAUGGUGGUCAGUGGUCAUGCUCACGAUGGCCUUUCUGGGGGUCUAUAUACUGUGUUACUGGCGUUUUGGAUGUAUUAGUGAUUCAGAGGGGGCAACAAAAACUUUUAACCUGUUAAUCUUAGAAGUCUAUUGAUUUUUUACUAUUCUUCAUUCAUUAAUCUCUUAUUUCCCCUACAGGUGAGUGCUACUCCAGAUCUCAUGGCUUUUGUGUUGUGGACAGAUCCUUUUUCUAACUCAGCAAGGUUGCACAAAAGCUUUUCCUAGAUUGAUGUUGCACUGUUGACAAAGAUGAAGCGGUUACCUAUAUUUAUAUACGUCACCACUAUUACUUUUUACAAACGUAUAUUAUAGAAUUUUAUGUGAACUUCAAUGUUUCAGUAUUGUUUAUCUUCGACAUAUGACAGAUUAUAUGUGGCCCCCUGCUUACAACUCUUGAUGAAUAAACAUCUACAGUCCUAUUGUCUUGUACUGGAUUUCCUUUUGUGCUAUAAUUGACAUUAGUUUAUGCUCUUUUCUCUUUCAGCAAGCAGUCAUGGAUAUCAUGUGCAAAGUCGCAGGUACAGAUGUUCAGAUAUCAUAAAACUAUAGGAGAUCAAGAGUUAUAUUUUUGAAUCACUACAUGGAAGGUACGACUCCCCUAGAGGACUCUGUUCUAGACAUCUUGUGAUAAGUGUGAGUUUUAGUUAUCUUUUUGGAACUUGUGCAGACAAAGCUAAAUCUUCUGAAUUUCGUAAUGUGAUUAUGUGAUAUCUAUGUGCUGUUUGAAGAAUAGAUCUGAUAAGGUAAGGAUAUCCCUUGUUCAUGUAUGGUUUGUUGUCUCUAUUUUGGCAUUAUUUAAUAAGGACCAUCAUUAUCAUAUACACUUGAGGAAAAUCUCUAGUUUAAUAUUGUUUCUAGCAUGUUCUUUAGUUCGACGUACAAAAUCUCUCAGGCUAUCUAAAGAUCUUCUGACUGUUUCUAGUGAAAAGCCACUCUAAUGUAUAGGAGAUAAGCCAGUCCGAUGUACAGUCUAGUUUAAAUUGUUUCUAGCUUUUUCUUUAAUUCCACGUAAGGCUAUCUGAAAAUCUUUUGACGUGUUUCUAAUGACAGACCUAUGUACAGGAGAUAAGCUAGUCCGAUGGAGAGGAGAUGAACAUAUUAGGCAUGAGUGCAUGGAGACAUGUGGACUGUAAUUUUAAUAUACACAUAUUUAUGUAGCAAGACGUCUGAUGCAUCCUUUUUUAGCUCAGCUUCUUUUAUGUUAGGAUGUGUAGAUAAAGAGUAUGAAUGAAAACUUCAGUUCUAGAACACCUGCCCAGGAACAGGACAAAUAUGAUGUGUUGGAUGUUCAGAUCAGAUGCUUGAAGGAUGAAGAACAAGAUUCCCCUCAAGAUUAGUUUCCUCAGGAUUAGUUUUUUAGGAGUGGUGUUACAGUACUGUAUAGUUAUUUUUAGUAUAUGAAUUUUUUUAGUUAGUGAAUCAUUAAUUGUAUACACUUACAGAUUGGGUCAUUUUAUAUCUAUAGAAUAAGCUACUAAAUAUCAGUUUUUAAUAUUAUCUUGAGUUCCAAGGA